UACGAAGGGGGCUAGCGUUGCUCGGAUUUACUGGGCGUAAAGGGCGCGUAGGCGGAUGUUUAAGUCGGGGGUGAAAGCCCAGGGCUCAACCCUGGAAUUGCCUUCGAUACUGGACAUCUUGAGUACGGGAGAGGUGAGUGGAACUCCGAGUGUAGAGGUGAAAUUCGUAGAUAUUCGGAAGAACACCAGUGGCGAAGGCGACUCACUGGCCCGUUACUGACGCUGAGGCGCGAAAGCGUGGGGAGCAAACAGG
rnacentral:rRNA from 1 species